ACGAACGCUGGCGGCGUGCCUAAUACAUGCAAGUAGAACGCUGAAGAGAGGAGCUUGCUCUUCUUGGAUGAGUUGCGAACGGGUGAGUAACGCGUAGGUAACCUGCCUUGUAGCGGGGGAUAACUAUUGGAAACGAUAGCUAAUACCGCAUAACAAUGGAUGACACAUGUCAUUUAUUUGAAAGGGGCAAUUGCUCCACUACAAGAUGGACCUGCGUUGUAUUAGCUAGUAGGUGAGGUAACGGCUCACCUAGGCGACGAUACAUAGCCGACCUGAGAGGGUGAUCGGCCACACUGGGACUGAGACACGGCCCAGACUCCUACGGGAGGCAGCAGUAGGGAAUCUUCGACAAUGGGGGCAACCCUGACCGAGCAACGCCGCGUGAGUGAAGAAGGUUUUCGGAUCGUAAAGCUCUGUUGUAAGUCAAGAACGAGUGUGAGAGUGGAAAGUUCACACUGUGACGGUAGCUUACCAGAAAGGGACGGCUAACUACGUG
rnacentral:rRNA from 1 species